AGUAAACCCGUGCCUCUCUAGGAAGAAAAAGAUACAUUUUUUUGGUUUUUGGGAGACACGACACAAAUUCAUUUGUCAGAUGAUUUGCAUGUAACUAAAGUGGAGGAAAAUACUGAAAAAGAGGCGCAAUGCCCUUGUGUUUAUUUAUGUUGGGCAUGCAUGCCUUGGUGGAAGGUAGGUAGGCAACUUACAUCAUCGUACUGCUGAGCCCGAGCCACAACUUAUUUAUGCUACUCCCGCGUACUUACGAACUACAUACACCACACAAGUCCAGCUCUCAAACGGCGCGGGCUCCAGCUCACAUUCACUUGACAGCGACCUUGCCGCCUCAGAGCGCGGCGGUUGCCAUUCUCAGGAAGGCCUCCACGGCUUCGUCGCCGCGGCCGCGGUCACCACGGCGGCGGUCCCCGCGCUCCUGCUCCUGCUGCUCGGGUCCGGCGACGAAGCCCUCGUCCUGCUGAUCCUUGGCGCGGAACACCUCCUGCACCUCCCUGGCGGGCCUGCCGAACGUGAGCUCCUGCGCGGGGUUGUCCAGCUUGCCGAUCACGUUGUUCCUCCCGGCGAGCCACACCCUCUCGUUCCUCUCGGCGUUGAUCUCGAAGCACACCACCUGGAGGUUGCUGCUGCCGCGGGACGAGGCGAUCUCCACGACCGGGUGGCCGGGGGGCACCACGAACGCCGAGCCGCGCGACACCCGCGCGCGGACCGUCUCGUACCUCUGCUGAUCCUGCUCCUCCUCCGACUCGGAGCCGGAGCCGCGUCGGCGUUGCUGCCGCUGGUCGUCCUCUUCUUCCUCGCUCCGCCUGCCCUUGCCGUGCUCGUGCUCGCGCUCGCUGUCCUGGCCAAGGUGCGGGCACACGAUCUGCACCUCGCCCUCGCCUUCCAGCACGACGGCGAGCUUGAACGACUGGGUGUUCAAGUAAGGCGCGGUCAUAGAUCCCUGUCGAUCGACAUAUGCACUCAUGUAAACAGCAGUCAAGUAACAAAUCAAGAUAUCAAGCCCGCCGCCGGUGAACUAAUUAAGCGUGGUGACGCACCGGUGUGAUGUUGGCCACGGCGACACGGACGUCGUGUUGGGCAAGGGCGUGGAAGCUCCGGGCGUCGGCCUCGAAGAGGCGGCCAUGGCGGUUGGCGAUCUUGGGGCGCUGCUCCAGGAGGUUAAAGGUGUCGCGCGAGUCGCCGCGGAACGGGGGGAGAGGCCAGUGGUGGCCCUGCCCGCCCUCGGACGCCUCGCGACGCAGCUCGCGGAGCUGCUCCUCGGACGCGCGGACGAUGGAGAUGGGCUCCUCCUCCUGGCCUUGGCGCCUGCCGAACAGCAGCCUGUCCAGCUGCUCAUCCGAGGUCUGCACGUUCACGUCCAUGUCCAUGGAUGUGAGUACAAGUUUUUCUUUUUUGAGUAAAGAAAGAAGAGAUUGACUAGUGCAUGCAUGUAAGUAGGUACGUACCUUGAGAGCCGCUCUCAGCACGCGUUUGCUCAAACUCGCGAGAAGAGGCUUGGCCGAGAAAUACUGCAUGGGAUAUCCACGUGUCAGUCAUUCAUUGCGUCGUUAUCCAUUCGAGAAAUUCGAGCGGCGUCAAACUUUUUAAUUACCUGGAACUUGCCGGGCACGGAGAUGGUGUGGAGGAUCUUGGCGAUGACCAGCUUCCUCCGGCCGUCGGUGUUGGCCAGGUGCAUGAUGGACCCCGCCGGCGCCACGAUGACAUCGCCUUGCCUGACGGAGUAGGACCGCCUCUCGCCGUUCUCGAUCACCGUCAGCACCCCCUCGCCUGCAUGCAUGCAUGCAUGCGCACGUUAGUUAUCAUCGAUCGGCAGAUGCAUGAUACGUGUACAAGAUGGACGGUACCUUGAGCGACGUAGCCGACGCCGUCCGCGUCCGUGAGUCCCGGCACGACGAACGAGCGCGGGUUCACCUCCAUGAUGGCGACGCGGUAGUUCCUGAUGCCUCGGAGGAGCCUGGACACUUCGUCGAACGGGCGAAGGGCCUUCACGAACCCGUGGUCGCUCCGGAUGAUGCUACGAAAGUUGCGCGGGCCGAACACGUACGGCCGGCGGCUAUCCCCGUGCUCCUCAUCACGCUCUCCCUCGCCGCGCCGGCCACGGCCCUGCUCGUGCUUUCCGUGCUCCUCACGCUCCCCCUCGCCGUGCCGCCCACGGCCACGGCCCUCCUCCUCCUCACGCUCUCCCUCGCCGUGCCGCCCACGGCCACGGCCCUCCUCCUCCUCACGCUCCCCCUGGCCGUGCCUGCCACGGCCACGGCCCUGCUCCUCCUCACGCCCCCCUUCGCCGUGCCGGCCAUGGCCACGGCCUUGCUCCUCCUGCUCGUGCCUCCCGUGCUGCUGCUGGUCCUCCCUGCACUCCUGCACGCACCGAGCAUGCGAGUACCGUGGCCGGUCCUGCUGGCACCGCUGCACGCACUGCUGCAGCGAGUGCCCACCGCGCCUGUCCUCCUCGUCGUCACGGGAGGCCGAAACAGCCGCGGCAAAGAGAAGGCUGGUUCCCAGGAGGAAGAGGAGAGGAAUGGUUGCUCUGAUCGCCAUGGUUUGUCACUCUGCUUGCUACCUCGCUCUGUGUGUGUGUCUUGUGCUGGGAAUGGAGGUCGACGCACCGUAUUUGUAGCGCGCGCGCCGCUGUACGUGGGGCCGUGGCGCGGCUACGUGGAGGAGCACUGCGUGCCACCGGGGAGGCGGGUCGCCACGUCGCGCGGUCGUGCUUAUCGGGCCAUCGGCAAGGUGCGUGCCAGCUUGGGCGUCGCGUGUCGUGGCGUGCUCUUGCUCGCGGCGGGCGGCGCGGCGCCGAGCGACGGAGAGAGUUGAGUGGAUAGCGGUGCUAGGUACGGAGCACCUAGACACUCGUUGGAGUACAUGCCCGAGCAGAGCACAUCAUCCCAUGACUAGUAGUACUGUAGUACUCCCUCCGUCCCAAAAUUCUUGUCUUAAAUUUGUUUAGAUACGGAUGUAUCUAAUAUUAAAACAUGACUUGGUUUAUCCGUAUUUAGACAAAUUUAACACAAGAAUUUUGGGACGGGGGAGUACUUCCCAGGCCUCUGAAGUAAACCUGAGCAUGGACCGGGCUGGCCUGGAUCGGGCUUAGCUUUCGGGUAGACGUUCGUUUUGCAAGCGAGACAUAUGGCUGGCUCGCCUGAAUCUAGCGACAAACGUUUUUUAUUCACAUUUUUUGAUUUCGUUUUCCGCUUUCUUUUCUUUAACGUUGUUUGUACUUUUAAAUAAUAUAAAUAUAUACGCCCUCCAUCCUAAAAUAAAUGUCUUCGAUUCAGUAAAACUUCAGUACAAAGUUGUACUCCCUCCGUCUCGUCGCAUAAAUGGAUGUAUCUCGAUAUAUUUUUAGUUCUAGACACAUUCAUUUCUGCAACGAGAUGGAUGGAUAGAUGCAUUCAUUUCCACGACAAGUAAUUAGGGAUAGAAAGAGUACUAAAUAAGUGUCUUUGAUUUAAUAAAACUUUAGUAUAAAGUUAAACUAAAUUAGACACAGAUUUUGGGAUGGAUGCAGUGCAUUACAAAAAAUACUUUACAUAUUUUCUUUCAAAAAAUACUUUACAUAUUUUUUUCAAAAAAUGUUAAUCAGGCAUUUGAAAAAUGUUAAAUGUGGAUAGGAAAACUGUGUCUAAUGUACACUAAAAAUGUUUAAUAAAUGCACAAUAUUUUUAGAAAAAAAAUCAACAUAUGAGAAUAUAUGUUUUAGAAAAAAUUAAUUAUGUAUUUAGAAAAUGUUAAAUGUGUAUAUGAAAAAUGUUCUUGCUGUAUACAAAAAAUCUUCAGUGUGCUUGGAAAAAGUAGCUAUAAAAUAUGUUUAAAAAUGCUAAUCAUUUAUUAAGGAAAUGUAAAAGAUGUAUAUACAUGAAAUGAUCCUGAUGUAUACAAAAAUUCUACAAUGUUUAUAGACAAGUAGGGAUAAAAUAUAUAUAAAUUUAUAAAACUGUUAAUUAUGUAUUUGGAAAAUAUUAAACACAUAUAUCAAAAAUAUUCCUAAUCUAUAAAAAUGUACAAUGUUUAUGGACAAAUUAGAUAUUGUAUGUUCAAAAAUGUUAAGCAUGUAUUUACAAAAUGUUAAAUUUAUACAUAAAAAUGUUCCUGAUGUGAACAUUUUCUUUACAACUCCUAUGAAGACGUAAAAAUAAGUUUUCAAAAAUAGUAGUCAUAUAUUUAUAAAAUAUUAAAUAUAUAUACUAAAAAUGUUCCUGAUGUAUAUGAAAAAUGUACGACUGGAAAAGAAGGAAACCAUCAAAAACCAGAAAAGAAAAACAAAGAAAAGUGAAGGAAACGGAGAAAGAAAAGCNNNNNNNNNNNNNNNNNNNNNNNNNNNNNNNNNNNNNNNNNNNNNNNNNNNNNNNNNNNNNNNNNNNNNNNNNNNNNNNNNNNNNNNNNNNNNNNNNNNNNNNNNNNNNNNNNNNNNNNNNNNNNNNNNNNNNNNNNNNNNNNNNNNNNNNNNNNNNNNNNNNNNNNNNNNNNNNNNNNNNNNNNNNNNNNNNNNNNNNNNNNNNNNNNNNNNNNNNNNNNNNNNNNNNNNNNNNNNNNNNNNNNNNNNNNNNNNNNNNNNNNNNNNNNNNNNNNNNNNNNNNNNNNNNNAAGGACGAGCUCCCAAAUGAGAGAGUGCCUGAGCCCCUAGCGUGCAAGCGGAUAGGGAGGAGAAGAACUCGGUCAUCCUAGUUAUAAAGUGAUGCAAAAAUUGCUUAAGACGAGUGUACAAUGGAACUUCCGAUGGGUGAGAUAUAGACGUCGCGGUUUUGCAACCCCCAUCUGCUAUUUUGGGUUGGGUUUGGACUUCAAUUUUUAGGCCGAAACAAAAUCCAGACCAGCCCGAGGAUGGUACUCACGCACAAAUUUGUAGCAUUGUUAACCCGAGCUUGGGCAUGCCUAUACCUCGCUUAGAGCAUCUACAGCCGGCCUUGACAAAUUUUAACCUCUCAAACAUUCACGGAUGUGCCUUGUCGUUGUCUACACGUGUCUGUUUGAGUCCCUGUUUGUCCGUGCACAUAACCAUGAUCCAUUUUUCCCUAUAUAUUCGGUCACAUGCGUGUGAUUGGUGGGGAUGAAAAGAGAAAGAGUAGAAAGAGCAAAGAAAGAAAAAAGGUGGUCUGCGGUGUGUCAAAUUCUAUGUGGCACAUGCUGAACCACUAACCGAACACGCCCGGGUACUCCUCAUAUUGCCCUUAUAUAUGGGUUAAGUAUGAGGAGUGCUGGAAAGCCCGGACGUUUGACGAAGCUUUGAGGGGUCCGGUUCAGUCAACUCUCAAGUGUGGUCAGUGGUUUUGUGUUCGCCUAAUCAAUUUGAGUAGUCCGAUUUAUGGAUACUCUUGGCAUGAGCCUCUCCGAGCGCUCGCCUGAAGCGCGCGAGAAUGAGUUGGCCCAACGGCGGGCACAUCCUUGGCGAUCAAUUAACAGAUGAGGUUUUGGAGCAAUAAACAAGCGGAGAAUACCUGAAGGGUGGAAUCAGAAUAAUAUUGUGUUGAUCCCUAAGGUGGAAAGUCCAAAGGUAAUUACCCAGUACCGGACUAUUAACUUGUGCAAUGUGAUCUAUAAAAUUAUUCCAAAAUGAUAGCUAAUAGGCUCAAGAAAAUAUGUCCUGAAGUUAUCGCUCCAACCCAGAGUGCCUUUGUGCCAGGCAUACUAAUUACAGAUAAUGUGUUGGUGGCACAUGAAUAUUUUCAUGCAAUAAAGAAGAAAAUCCAUGGGUCUAAUGGGUAUUGUGCAGUUAAACUCGACAUGUUAAAGGCAUAUCAUCGGGUUGAAUGAAAUUUCCUGGAGCAAAUUAUGUUGAAGCUUGGCUUUCAUACUUACUGGUUUGAGAUGGUUAUGGCAUAUGUAUCAUCGGUGAAUUACAGAGUAAGAUUUAAUGGCACAGAAGCUGAUGAGUUUUUACCCACGAGAGGUCUAAGGCAGGGUGACCCCUUGUCUCCCUAUCUUUUUCUGCUUUGUUCUGAAGGACUGUCUAGUUUGUUGGCUCAUGAAGAGGAAGUGGGUGCACUAGAAGGUAUCCGUGUUUGUAGAAAUGCUCCAUCUAUAUCUCACCUUCUUUUUAUAGAUGACUCAUUGAUCCUUAUGAAAGCGACUAUUCAGAAUGCAAACACUUUGAAGAGAGUGUUGGAUUCUUAUUGUGCAAGCUCUGGACAACUUGUGAGUAUGGCAAAAUUAAGCAUAUUUUUUAGUCCUAUCGCAAAUGUCAAUCCCAGGGAACAUGCCUGCAGGAGUGUUGAUAUCAUGAUUGAAGCAUUGUCAGAUAAAUAUAUUUGCCUCCCCACUAUUGUGGGAGUGGAUAGAAGUGAUUGUUUUCACCAUCAAAUUGAUCAAAUUUGUCAAAGACUGAAAGGUUGGAAGGAGAAGGUCUUAUCCAUCCAAGGAAAAUAAAUCUUAAUAAAGGCAGUGGCUCAAGCAAUCCCCUCAUAUACUAUGCCUGUUUUCAAAUUGCCUAAAGGGAUAUGCAAAACGAUAACCGAUGAGAUUGAAGGUUUUUGGUGGGGAGAUAGUGAGGAGAAAAAGAAAAUGCACUGGUUUGCGUGGUGAAAAUUGUGCACCCAAAAAGGAAUGGAGGCUUGGGGUUUAGAGACCUACACAGUUUUAACCUUGCUUUACUAGCAAAACAAUGUUGGCGACUACUCCAGAAUCUAGACUCUUUGUGUGCAAAAGUUCUUAGUGCAAAAUGCUACCCAGAUGGAGAUAUACUCAAUGCAGUCCCUAAGAAGGGUUCUUUUUUUACAUGGCAAAGUAUUAGCGCAGGCAUACAGACAUUCAAAAGGGGAUGCAUUUGGGGGGUGGGCAUUGAAUCACAGAUUAAUAUCUGGGACGAUCAUUGGAUUCCAACCUAGUGAAUCUAGGAAGGUCAGCACACCAAGAGGAACAAAUAUGUUAGGGAAAGUAGAAGAAUUGACUGAUCCACACACUGCCCAAUGGGAUUAAGCUCUUAACGUUCUGUGUUCUCACCCGUCGAUGUUCACAGAAUAUUACAAAUACCACUUCGGUGGAAGUGAUGGAUGAUUUUGUAGCUUGGCAUCACAGUCGUUCUGGUACUUUCUUGGUACGAUCAACAUAUAUUGUUGAAUUUGAACUCCAAUUUGGACACCAUUGGAACCACGGUAAUGGAACAAGUAGUUACCAAGAAUGUGACUCGUGGAAAAAUAUUUGUAGCCUUAAGAUACCAGGGAAGGUUAAACUCUUUGUGUGAAAGUGCUUCGUGAGGUACUACCGUGUCUAGUAGCACUAGCUGGUACACAUAUCCCAACUUCUACACAAUGCCCAAACUGUCAUAUUGGGUUUGAAGAUUCACAGCACUGCCUAUUCACUUGCAAGCGAGCGUUGGAGGUCUGGACCCAACUAGGGCUAGCUCGCGAUGACCAUGGGGAGUUUGUAGCUGCAGCUGUGUGGUUUAUGCCGCAUGUCAUAAGUGCAGGAGUGAUGGAGAUGGCGGUGAUCCGGAAUGGAUUUUACUUGGCUGGCAACAUUGGCUGCAAUUUGGUGAAAAUCGAAUCGGAUAGCUCCAACAUUGUUGAAGCAAUCAAUCAAGAUGUUUAUUUAGGCCCAGAUGCAGCUGUGUUUUCUGAAUGUAAAGCUCUUAUUGCAGGCCUAACAAAGGUGGACGUGAUCAAUUGUUUCCGCGAAGCCAACAGUGUAGCAGGUAGCUUAGCAAAAUACUCCUUUAGUAAUAGAUCGUCUAAGGUUUGGGAUAGCUCAAUUCCGAACUUUAUUUCUCAUCUCAUUGUACAUGAUAUGUCUAUUACCUGAGGAAUAAAGUUCUUUACCCGUAAAAAAAUGUUGAUUCAAGCGCCUAGAAUAAUGAUUUGCUCCUUUUUUUGUAAACAGGAUCACCCGCGAUUUCAUUAACAAAACCAUAUAUCAUUGUUAUUACAGCCAAAACACUCAUCUUAGUUCAACAUCCUCUCGACUCUCCAAAAAAACAAAAUCUCACUAGUCUGUUCUCAAUCAGGACAUAGACUAGAUGAGAUGGAACAAACCGAGGAAUUAAAACCUAUGACACCAUAUCCUCAGAUAUUACAGGGUAGGCUUUUCCUCUUCAACGGUACUUCAUAAUCCACUCUUGCUCAGCCUUCAAUCAUUGGAAUCCAAGAUGACCGUCCUCUUCGUGCUUGGAAGAUCUCACCGGUGACUCAUUCCAGCAGCUUUGCGCCCUGUUGUAGUUCCACCUUUUUUUUCCUCCUUCACCUGCAAAAUACUGCAGUCAUUAAUCCAAUGUGCCAUCUUGAACAUCACACACUAGGAUCAGCAGGCCAAAUAUGUUGGUAACAAGCUAAAUUCCUAGUUUUCCAAAUACUCCAGAUUAAAGUUGCCACUCCAACGAAAAUAAACUUCUUCUUGUCAGAUCUAAAACCUCCCAACCAAGUAUAACAUGCAUCCAUGCUGUAAAAGUUGCACUGUACUCCUGUGAUAUGACUCACAACACUCCACAUGUAUCUAGCCAGAGAGCAUUCGAAAAAAAGAUGAUAAAUGGUCUCCUUGUUUCCACAGAACAAGCACCAUUUCUCACAUUUUCCUCCUCUGUAAAACAGAACAUCUCUGGUUAGUAUACUUCUUUUAGUAACUAAUCAAAUGAAAGUUUCGAUUCUAGGUGGUAUUUUAACUUUCCAUAAGAACCUUUUUGGACAUUUAUCUCCAAAUUGCAACAUAGAGUAAAAGGAUUUGACACUAUAUUCUCUUGAUACCUCAAGUAUCCAGGAGAGUUUAUCAUCAUCUUUAUUUAAAAUGGUUCCUUUACAUAUCUCCAAUAACGUCUGCCACUGUAUCACUUUUUCCCUUGUUAACACUCUACGGAAUUUUAAUCCAGUGAGUCUAGAGGAGAAGACAGCCGAGACAGUAACAUUGUGACAAAGGGAGAUGUUAUACAAAUCUGGAAAGAUUACUACCAGACUACUAGGUCCUGACUAGUUAUCUUCCCAGAAUCUAGUUCUCCCCCAUUUCCCCCUUUAAAUUUACAACGGGACAAGAAAAGUAUUUUACAAUUCAACACUCCUUGCCAAAAGUGUGAAUCCCCUUGCUUCUUUUGGACCCCCCCCAAAGUGUUUCUCCCAAUAUAAUUUUCCCACAAACCUUUUUCAUUGAAAAGUUUCCAAAGCCACAUUGAAAGCAGGGCAAUGUUCAUCACUUCUAAAUCUAAAAUCCCCAGGCCUCCCAGGGUGUUAGGUCUACAAACUUUUUCCCAUGCCACCAAAUGAUAUGUUUGUUUUUCUCUCCACUCCAUAGAAAAUUUGCCCUAGGUCUGACCAUUUUUAUCUUUAUUCCUUUUGGGACUUCAUAAAAGGAAAGCAUAAAAAGUACUAGACUGAUCAGGGAAGAAUUUAUCAAGGUGGUUCUGCCAGAAAUAUUUAAUAGUCUACCUAACCAAGUCCCCAUUUUCUUGUCCAUUUUGUUAAUGGAUGGGUUCCAAUCACUUCCCUUCAAUCUUUUUUCAUCUAUAGGUAUCCCGAGAUAUUUGAAAGGCAAAGCACCUUUCUUGCAUGUUAGAAUUUCUUCAAAAAAUUUAACUCUGUCCUCAUUCAUCCCAAUGCCGAUCACUUCACUCUUAUGAAAGUUAAUUUUUAAUCCGGACAUAAUCUCAAGCUGGUUUAGAAUUUUCUUGACAUUUUUGGCUUGUUCCAAAUCAUCUUGGAAUAAAUGAUAGUGUCAUCUGCACAUUGCAAAAUAGACACGUCAUUUUCCUUAUGAUUCUUAGCAAGUCCCCUAAUUAUAUUUUUAUCCACAACUCUAUCAAACAAUACUGCCAAAAUAUCAAUUGUUGUAUCAAAAAGCAAAGGAGACAUUGAGCCCCCCUGCCUUAAACCUUGGUAAGUUUUAAAAAAUGGACCCACUUCUCCAUUUACCUUAACAUAUACUCUCCCCCCAGUCACUGUCUUCAUUAUCCAAUUGAUCAUUUUAUCACAGAAUUUUUUCAUCUUAAGUGUAUGAAAUAGAAAAGGCCAUUUAACCUUGUCAAAGGCCUUUUCAAAAUCAAUUUUAAAGAGGACCCCUGACUUUUUGGCUUUGUGCAUAGAAUUCAAGGUUUCGUGCAACACCAGCACCCCCUCCAAAAUAUAUCUCCCUUCGAUAAAGGCAGUUUGAGAUGCCCUAAUCAUCCUAGAUAUCACCUUUAUGUUGGAAAUAUGCCCUAGAGGCAAUAAUAAAAGUGUUAUUAUUAUAUUUCUUUGUUCAUGAUAAUAGUCUUUUAUUCAUGAUAUAACUGUAUUAUCCGGAAAUCGUAAUACACGUGUGAAUACAUAGACCACAAUAUGUCCCUAGUAAGCCUCUAGUUGACUAGCUCGUUGUGAUCAACAGAUAGUCAUGGUUUCCUGGCUAUGGACAUUGGAUGUCGUUGAUAACGGGAUCACAUCAUUAGGAGAAUGAUGUGAUGGACAAGACCCAAUCCUAAGCAUAGCACAAUUGUCGGUUAGUUCGUUUGCUAGAGCUUUUCCAAUGUCAAGUAUCUCUUCCUUCGACCAUGAGAUCGUGUAACUCCUGGAUACCGUAGGAAUGCUUUGGGUGUAUCAAACAUCACAACGUAAAUGGGUGACUAUAAAGGUGCACUACAGGUAUCUCCGAAAGUGUCUAUUGGGUUGACACAGAUCGAGACUGGGAUUUGUCACUCCGUAUGACGGAGAGGUAUCUCUGGGCCCACUCGGUAAUGCAUCAUCAUAAUGAGCUCAAGGUGACCAAGGUGUUGGCCACGGGAUCAUGCAUUACAGUACGAGUAAAGUGACUUGCCGGUAACGAGACUGAACAAGGUAUUGGGAUACCGACGAUCGAGUCUCGGGCAAGUAACGUACCGAUUGACAAAGGGAAUUGUAUAUGGGGUUUGAUCGAAUCCUCGACAUCGUGGUUCAUCCGAUGACUUCAUCGAGGAGCAUGUGGGAGCCAACAUGGGUAUCCAGAUCCCGCUGUUGGUUAUUGACCAGAGAGUCUCGGUCAUGUCUGCAUGUCUCCCGAACCCGUAGGGUCUACACACUUAAGGUUCGGUGAUGCUAGGGUUAUCAGGAAGACAAGUAUGUGAUUACCGAAUGUUGUUCGGAGUCCCGGAUGAGAUCCCGGACGUCACGAGGAGUUCCGGAAUGGUCCGGAGGUAAAGUUUUAUAUAUGGGAAGUUGUUGAACGAGCACCGAAAAGUUUCGGGGUCAUACCGGUAUUGUACCGGGACCACCGGAAAGGUUCCGGGGGUCCACCGGGAGGGACCACCCCUCCCGGGGGCCACUUGGGCUACGUAUGGAUAGCAGCCAGCCCCUAGUGGGCUUGGCGCCCCCCCCCCUUGGGCCCAUGCGCCUAGGGUUGGGGGGGAAACCCUAAAGGGGGCGCACCCCCCUUGCUUGGGGGGCAAGCCCCCCACCCCUUGGCCGCCGCCCCCCCUAGGGUUUUCCCUAGAGGGCUGGACCCCCUUGCCCCUUCCCCUAUAUAUAGAGGGGUGAGGGGAGGGCUGCAACACACCACAACUCAAGGCGCAGCCCCUCCCCUCCCCAACACCUCUCCUCCUCCGUACGUGCUUGGCGAAGCCCUGUCGGAACACUGCCGCACCAACUGCACCACGCCGUCGUGCUGCCGUUGGAGCUGCCUUCCUUAACCUCUCCUUCCUCCUUGAUGGAUCAAGACAGAGGAGACGUCUCCCGUCCCGUACGUGUGUUGAACGCGGAGGUGCUGUCCGUUCAGCACUAGGACAUCGGUGAUCCGAAUCACGUUCGAGUACGACUCCAUCAUCACCAUCCCCUUGGCAAGCUUCCGCUCGUGAUCUACAAGUGGUAUGUAGAUGCAAACUCUCUCCCUUGACUCGUUGCUUAGAUGAACUCAUAGAUGGAUCUUGGUGAAACCGUAGGAAAAAUUUUAAUUUUCUGCAACGUUCCCCAACAGUGGCAUCAUGAGCUAGGUCUAUGCGUAGUUCUCUUUGCACGAGUAGAACACAAUUUUGUUGUGGGCGUGGAUCUUGUCAACUUGCUUGCCUCUACUAGUCUUUUCUUGCUUCAGCGGCAUUGUGGGAUGAAGCGGCCCGGACCAACCUUACACGUACGCUUACGUGAGACCGGUUCCACCGAUUAACAUGCACUAGUUGCAUAAGGUGGCUGGCGGGUGUCUGUCUCUCCCACUUUAGUUGGAGCGGAUUCGAUGAAAAGGGCCCUUAUGAAGGGUAAAUAGAAGUUGACAAAAUCACGUUGUGGUUAUUCGUAGGUAAGAAAACGUUCUUGCUAGAACCCAAUUGCAGCCAUGUAAAAGAUGCAACAACAAUUAGAGGACGUCUAACUUGUUUUUGCAGCGAUUGAUCAUGUUAUGUGAUAUGGCCAGAAGUUGUGAUGAAUGAUGAAUUGUGAUGUAUGAGAUCAUGUUCUUGUAAUAGGAUUCACGACUUGCAUGUCGAUGAGUAUGACAACCGGCAGGAGCCAUAGGAGUUGUCUUUAUUUUUGUAUGACCUGCGUGUCAUUGAAGAACACCAUGUAACUUACUUUACUUUAUUGCUAAACGCGUUAGUCAUAGAAGUAGAAGUAGUCGUUGGCGUGACAACUUCAUGAAGACACGAUGAUGGAGAUCAUGAUGAUGGAGAUCAUGGUGUCAUGCCGGUGACAAGAUGAUCAUGGAGCCCCGAAGAUGGAGAUCAAAGGAGCUAUAUGAUAUUGGCCAUAUCAUGUCACUACUUUAUAUAAUUGCAUGUGAUGUUUAUUAUGUUUUAUGCAUCUUGUUUACUUAGGACGACGGUAGUAAAUAAGAUGAUCCCUUACAAAAUUUCAAGAAGUGUUCUCCCCUAACUGUGCACCGUUGCUACAGUUCAUCGCUUCUAAGCACCACGUGAUGAUCGGGUGUGAUGGAUUCUUACGUUGACAUACAACGGGUGUAAGACAGUUUUACACAGCGAAAACACUUAGGGUUAACUUGACGAGCCUAGCAUGUGCAGACAUGGCCUUGGAACACGGAGACCGAAAGGUCAAACACGAGUCGUAUGGAAGAUACGAUCAACAUGAAGAUGUUCACCGACGAUGACUAGUCCGUCUCACGUGAUGAUCAGACACGGGCUAGUCGACUCGGAUCGUGUAACACUUAGAUGACUAGAGGGAUGUCUAAUCUAAGUGGGAGUACAGAAUUUGAUUAGAACUUAAUUAUCAUGAACUUAGUCUAAAACCUUUGCAAAUAUGUCUUGUAGAUCAAAUGGCCAACGCUCAUGUCAACAUGAACUUCAACGCGUUCCUAGAGAAAACCAAGCUGAAAGAUGAUGGCAGCAACUAUACGGACUGGGUCCGGAACCUGAGGAUCAUCCUCAUAGCUGCCAGGAAACAAUAUGUCCUAGAAGGACCGCUAGGUGACACUCCCGUCCCAGAGAACCAAGACAUUAUUAAUGCUUGGCAGUCUCGUGCUGAUGAUUACUCCCUCGUUCAGUGCGGCAUGCUUUACAGCUUAGAACCGGGGCUCCAAAAGCGUUUUGAGCAUCACGGAGCAUAUGAGAUGUUCGAAGAGCUGAAACUAGUUUUUCAAGCUCACGCCCGGGUCGAGAGAUAUGACAUCUCCGACAAGUUCUAUAGUUGUAAGAUGGAGGAAAAUAGUUCUGUCAGUGAGCACAUACUCAAGAUGUCUGGGUUGCACAACCGUAUGACCUAGCUGAAUAUUAACCUCCCUGAUGAGGCAGUCAUUGACAGAAUCCUUCAGUCGCUCCCACCAAACUACAAGAGCUUUGUGAUGAACUACAAUAUGCAGGGGAUGGUAAAGACCAUUCCUGAAGUAUUUUCUAUGCUGAAGUCAGCAGAGGUUGAAAUCAAGAAAGAACAUCAAGUGUUGAUGGUCAAUAAGACCACUAAGUUCAAGAAGGGCAAGGGUAAGAAGAACUUCAAGAAGGAUGGCAAAGAGGUUGCCGCGCCCGGUAAGCCAGUUGCCGGGAAGAAGUCAAAGAAUGGACCCAAGCCUGAAACUGAGUGCUUUUAUUGCAAGGGGAAGGGUCACUGGAAGCGGAACUGCCCCAAAUACUUAGCGGAUAAGAAGGCCGGCAACACCAAAGGUAUAUUUGAUAUACAUGUAAUUGAUGUGUACCUUACCAGUACUCGUAGUAACUCCUGGGUAUUUGAUACCGGUGCCGUUGCUCAUAUUUGUAACUCACAGCAGGAGCUGCGGAAUAAACGGAGACUGGCGAAGGACGAGGUGACGAUGCGCGUCGGGAAUGGUUCCAGAGUCGAUGUGAUCGCCGUCGGCACGCUGCCUCUACAUUUACCUACGGGAUUAGUUUUGAACCUUAAUAAUUGUUAUUUAGUGCCAAGUUUGAGCAUGAACAUUGUAUCUGGAUCUCGUUUAAUACGAGAUGGCUACUCAUUUAAGUCUGAGAAUAAUGGUUGUUCGAUUUAUAUGAGAGAUAUGUAUUAUGGUCAUGCUCCGAUGGUCAAUGGUUUAUUCUUAAUGAAUCUCGAGCGUAAUAUUACACAUGUUCAUAGUGUAGAUGCCAAAAGAUGUAAAGUUGAUAACGAUAGUCCCACAUACUUGUGGCACUGCCGCCUUGGUCACAUUGGUGUGAAGCGCAUGAAGAAGCUCCAUGCUGAUGGACUUUUAGAGUCUCUUGAUUAUGAAUCAUUUGACACAUGCGAACCAUGCCUCAUGGGAAAAAUGACCAAGACUCCGUUCUCCAGAACAAUGGAGCGAGCAACCAACUUGUUGGAAAUCAUACAUACCGAUGUGUGCGGUCCAAUGAGCGUUGAGGCUCGCGGAGGAUAUCGUUAUGUUCUCACUCUCACUGAUGACUUAAGUAGAUAUGGGUAUGUCUACUUAAUGAAACACAAGUCUGAGACCUUUGAAAAGUUCAAGGAAUUUCAGAAUGAGGUGGAGAAUCAACGUGACCGAAAGAUAAAGUUCCUACGAUCAGAUCGUGGAGGAGAAUAUUUAAGUCACGAAUUUGGCACACACUUAAGGAAAUGUGGAAUCGUUUCACAACUCACGCCGCCUGGAACACCUCAGCGAAACGGUGUGUCCGAACAUCGUAAUCGCACUCUAUUGGAUAUGGUGCGGUCUAUGAUGUCUCUUACCGAUUUACCGCUAUCAUUUUGGGGAUACGCUCUAGAGACAGCUACAUUCACUUUAAAUAGGGCACCGUCUAAAUCCGUUGAGACGACACCGUAUGAAUUAUGGUUUGGGAAGAAACCUAAGCUGUCGUUUCUAAAAGUUUGGGGAUGCGAUGCUUAUGUCAAGAAACUUCAACCUGAAAAGCUCGAACCCAAGUCGGAAAAAUGCGUCUUCAUAGGAUACCCUAAGGAAACAGUAGGGUAUACCUUCUACUUAAGAUCUGAAGGCAAAUCUUUGUUGCCAAAAACGGAUGCUUUCUGGAAAAAGAGUUUCUCUCGAAAGAAGUAAGUGGGAGGAAAGUAGAACUCAAUGAAGUACUACCUCUCGAACGGGAAAGUGGUGCAGCUCAGGAAAAUGUUCCUGUGAUGCCCACACCAACUGAAGAGGAAACCAAUGAUGAUGAUCAAGGUACUUUAGAUCAAGUUGCUACUGAACUUUGUAGGUCCACAAGGACACGUUCCGCACCAGAGUGGUACGGCAACCCUGUCUUGGAAAUCAUGUUGUUAGACAACGGUGAACCUUCGAACUAUGAAGAAGCGAUGGCAGGCCCAGAUUCCAACAAAUGGCUAGAAGCCAUGAAAUCCGAGAUAGAAUCCAUGUAUGAAAACAAAGUAUGGACUUUGACUGACUUGCCCGAUGAUCGGCGAGCGAUAGAAAACAAAUGGAUCUUUAAGAAGAAGACGGACGCGGAUGGUAAUGUCACCAUCUAUAAAGCUGGACUUGUCGCUAAGGGUUAUCGACAAGUUCAAGGGAUUGACUACGACGAGACAUUCUCUCCCGUAGCGAAGCUUAAGUCCGUCCGAAUCAUGUUAGCAAUUGCCGCAUACUAUGAUUAUGAGAUAUGGCAGAUGGACGUCAAAACGGCAUUCCUUAACGGGCAUCUUAAGGAAGAGCUGUAUAUGAUGCAGCCGGAAGGUUUUGUCGAUCCUAAGAACGCUAACAAAGUAUGCAAGCUCCAGCGAUCCAUUUAUGGGCUGGUGCAAGCAUCUCAGAGUUGGAAUAUUCGCUUUGAUGAGAUGAUCAAAGCGUUUGGGUUUAUGCAGACUUAUGGAGAAGCCUGCGUUUACAAGAAAGUGAGUGGGAGCUCUGUAGCAUUUCUCAUAUUAUAUGUGGAUGACAUACUCUUGAUGGGAAAUAAUAUAGAAUUUCUGGACAGCAUUAAGGCCUACUUGAACAAAUGUUUUUCAAUGAAGGACCUUGGAGAAGCUGCUUAUAUAUUAGGCAUCAAGAUCUAUAGAGAUAGAUCGAGACGCCUCAUAGGUCUUUCACAAAGCACAUACCUUGAUAAGAUUUUGAAAAAGUUCAAAAUGGUUGAGUCCAAGAAAGGGUUCUUGCCUAUGUUACAAGGUGUGAGAUUGAGCCCAGCUCAGUCACCGACCACGACAAAAGAUAAAGAAGAGAUGAGUGUCAUCCCCUAUGCUUCAGCCAUAGGAUCUAUUAUGUAUGCCAUGAUGUGUACCAGACCUGAUGUAAACCUUGCCGUAAGUUUGGUAGCAAGAUACCAGAGUAAUCCCGGCAAGGAACACUGGACAUCGGUCAAGAAUAUCCUGAAGUACCUGAAAAGGACAAAGGACAUGUUUCUCGUUUAUGGAGGUGACGAAGAGCUCGUCGUAAAGGGUUACGUCGACGCUAGCUUCGACACAGAUCUGGAUGACUCUAAGUCACAAACCGGAUACGUGUAUAUGUUGAAUGGUGGAGCAGUAAGCUGGUGCAGCUGCAAGCAGAGCGUCGUGGCGGGGUCUACAUGUGAAGCGGAGUACAUGGCAGCCUCGGAGGCAGCGCAUGAAGCUAUUUGGGUGAAGGAGUUCAUCACCGACCUAGGAGUCAUACCCAAUGCGUCGGGGCCAAUCAAACUCUUCUGUGACAACACUGGAGCUAUUGCCCUUGCCAAGGAGCCCAGGUUUCACAAGAAGACCAGGCACAUCAAGCGUCGUUUCAACUUCAUCCGUGAAAAUGUUCAAGAUGGAGACAUAGAAAUUUGCAAAGUACAUACGGAUCUGAAUGUCGCAGAUCCGUUGACUAAACCUCUCUCGCGAGCAAAACAUGAUCAACACCAGAACUCUAUGGGUGUUCGAUUCAUCACAAUGUAACUAGAUUAGUGACUCUAGUGCAAGUGGGAGACUGUUGGAAAUAUGCCCUAGAGGCAAUAAUAAAAGUGUUAUUAUUAUAUUUCUUUGUUCAUGAUAAUAGUCUUUUAUUCAUGCUAUAACUGUAUUAUCCGAAAAUCGUAAUACACGUGUGAAUACAUAGACCACAAUAUGUCUCUAGUAAGCCUCUAGUUGACUAGCUCGUUGUGAUCAACAGAUAGUCAUGGUUUCCUGGCUAUGGACAUUGGAUGUCGUUGAUAACGGGAUCACAUCAUUAGGAGAAUGAUGUGAUGGACAAGACCCAAUCCUAAGCAUAGCACAAAGGUCGGUUAGUUCGUUUGCUAGAGCUUUUCCAAUGUCAAGUAUCUCUUCCUUCGACCAUGAGAUCGUGUAACUCCUGGAUACCGUAGGAAUGCUUUGGGUGUAUCAAACGUCACAACGUAACUGGGUGACUAUAAAGGUGCACUACAGGUAUCUCCGAAAGUGUCUAUUGGGUUGACACGGAUUGAGACUGGGAUUUGUCACUCCGUAUGACGGAGAGGUAUCUCUGGGCCCACUUGGUAAUGCAUCAUCAUAAUGAGCUCAAGGUGACCAAGGUGUUGGCCACGGGAUCAUGCAUUAUGGUACGAGUAAAGUGACUUGCCGGUAACGAGACUGAACAAGGUAUUGGGAUACCGACGAUCGAGUCUCGGGCAAGUAACGUACCGAUUGACAAAGGGAAUUGUAUACGGGGUUUGAUCGAAUCCUCGACAUCGUGGUUCAUCCGAUGACUUCAUCGAGGAGCAUGUGGGAGCCAACAUGGGUAUCCAGAUCCCGCUGUUGGUUAUUGACCGGAGAGUCUCGGUCAUGUCUGCAUGUCUCCCGAACCCGUAGGGUCUACACACUUAAGGUUCGGUGACGCUAGGGUUAUCAGGAAGACAAGUAUGUGAUUACCGAAUGUUGUUCGGAGUCCCGGAUGAGAUCCCGGACGUCAUGAGGAGUUCCCGAAUGGUCCGGAGGUAAAGUUUUAUAUAUGGGAAGUUGUUAAACGGGCACCGGAAAGUUUCGGGGUCAUACCGGUAUUGUACCGGGACCACCGGAAAGGUUCCGGGGGUCCACCGGGAGGGACCACCCCUCCCGGGGGGCCACUUGGGCUGCGUAGGGAUAGCAGCCAGCCCCUAGUGGGCUUGGCGCGCCCCCCCUUGGGCCCAUGCGCCUAGGGUUGGGGGGGGGAAACCCUAAAGGGGGCGCACCCCCCUUGCUUGGGGGGCAAGCCCCCCACCCCUUGGCCGCCGCCCCCCUAGGGUUUUCCCUAGAGGGCCGGCCCCCCUUGCCCCUUCCCCUAUAUAUAGAGGGGUGAGGGGAGGGCUGCAACACACCACAACUCAAGGCGCAGCCCCUCCCCUCCCCAACACCUCUCCUCCUCCGUACGUGCUUGGCGAAGCCCUGUCGGAAUACUGCCGCACCAACUGCACCACGCCGUCGUGCUGCCGUUGGAGCUGCCUUCCUCAACCUCUCCUUCCUCCUUGCUGGAUCAAGACGGAGGAGACGUCUCCCGUCUCGUACGUGUGUUGAACACGGAGGUGUUGUCCGUUCAGCACUAGGACAUCGGUGAUCCGAAUCACGUUUGAGUACGACUCCAUCAUCACCAUCCCCUUGGCAAGCUUCCGCUCGUGAUCUACAAGUGGUAUGUAGAUGCAAACUCUCUCCCUUGACUCGUUGCUUAGAUGAACUCAUAGAUGGAUCUUGGUGAAACCGUAGGAAAAAUUUUAAUUUUCUGCAACGUUCCCCAACACUUUAUAAGUCUACUCACCAAAAUUUUAGUGAAAUUUUUAAAUAUCACAUUUAGCAAACAUAUGAGUCUGUACUUCUUAGUUCUAUCUGCAUCACUUCCUUUUGGUAUGAGGGAGAUUAUUCCAUAAUUUAACCUGUCUAGGUCUAAAUCAUGUUCAUAAAAUUCCUCCAACAUCGCAAAUAAAUCAUCUUUGACUAGGUCCCAAUAGUGUUGAUAAAAUUCAAUGUUAAAACCAUCCGGGCCCGGACUUUGUUUUUCUCCAUUCCAAAUAUUGCAUUCUUCAUUUCCUCCAUUGUAAAUUUCUUGAUGAGAAAUUCUCUCUCUUCCUCAGUGAGUGUUUCAACACCACUAGAGUCAAUUAUUAGAGUUUUAAUCUCAGGUUCACUAAAAAGGUCUUUAUAGAACUUAGUAAUACACUCCUUUAGAUUCUGUUGCCCUUCAAUCACCCCUUCAUCUUAUAUCAACUUAACAAUUCUACUUUUCCUAAACCUCCCAUUUGCCUUAACAUGAUAGUAUCUUGUAUUAGAAUCUCCCUCAAACAAAGGGCCAGUUCUUUUGGGCGAUUCUCCCAGAAUCGCCCCUCUCCCCAGCUUCUCCCAGAAUCACCACUUCAUAUUUUUUUUACAAUCCUAGCUAAUUAGACCUUAACUAGAUAGGAUUGUAAAAAAAAUAUGAAGUGACGAUUCUGGGAAAAGCUGGGAAGGGGGGCGAUUCUGGGAGAAUCGUCCAAAAAAACUGGGCAGUAUCAUGAGAUCUUUGCAUCCAUUUCAAUUCCUCUUCUUUUAGGAUUUUUUUAAACUAGUUUGGCAGAUUUUUUUAUACUCUCUCUCUCUCUCUCUAAUCCCAUCAAAAUCCCUUCCUCUUCUUUUUUAUCAAGUCUGUCUAUUUCUUCACCCAACUUCUUUUUCGUUUCCUCAAAUUUGCUUCAAAAUUCAAAUUCCAUCCCUUCAAGACCUUCCUCAUUUCUUUCAUCUUAUUAUGGAAAAAACUACUCCCUCCGUUCUGAAUUAUUUGUCACACGUAUGAAUGUAUCUAGAUGUAUUUUAGUUUUAGAUACAUUCAUUUCAGCGACGAGUAAUUUGGAACAGAGGGAGUAUGAUUUAAAAGCCAAGAAGAAAUCCCGUAAGAAGUGUUUUGUUUCUUCUGCAUAAAAAUUUCGCGAGAAAUCACGUCUCCUACUGGAGUCACGGGACGCUCUCGUCAUCUUGUCCGUAGAGCGUCUAGGUGCUCUGUACGAAGCACCGCACCGCAAUCCACUCACUCUUAGACUGUAUUUACAUGUGUAUAUUGUAACAUUGUAUACCACCUCAUUAUAUAUAUAUAUAUGUGAUAGGCCACCCCUAGAGGGUUGUGCCGGUUCCCCCCAAAGCCUAUUGUCUUACAUGGUAUCACACUAGGUUACGUCCGCUUCCGCCUAAAAACUCUAAACCGCCGCCGCCGCCGCCGCCGCCGCGCCCGCCAUCGCCGUCGCCCGACUGCUAUGACGUCCGCCGCUGCGUCCGGCUCCACCGCCACCGGUUUUCUGCCGGCCUCCCUCACGGCACUUCUCUCGAGGCCGCUGGAUGCCGCCUCCCUUCAGGCGCCGAUCGGGACAUGGAGCGUCGGCUCCCUUUUCGCGCUCCCGCCGGCUGCUACUUCGCCCGGGCAGACGCUUGUGGCCCACACCGCCGCCGCCCCGUCAACCGCGGCUGUCGCGCCCUCGGCCACUGCGCCGCUGGUGGCGGAGGACGUCGCGCUGGCAGGCUUCGCGGCGUCAACCGCGGCCAUCGCGCCCUCUGUCACCGCGCCGGCUGCCCCUCUGACUGUCUCCACGGUGGUCUCACCUCAGCCAGUCUCCUCGAUGGGAUCGCAGCCGCCGCCGCCGUUUCACUUCGGCCAUCUCAUCACCAUCAAGUUGUCGUCGGACAAUUACAUCUUCUGGCGCGCGCAGGUUCUUCCGCUUCUUGGGAGUCACUAUCUGCUUGGCUAUGUUGACGGCUCUCUCCCUUGCCCUCCUGCGCUGGUUGACAGCGUGCACGGUCCGGUCUAUAAUCCGGCUCACCGUGUCUGGACAGGGCAGGAUCAGGCGAACCUCUCCUCCAUCCAGGGGUCGCUCUCUCCGGCCGUUGCUGGGCUUGUUGUCUUCGCCAAGACGUCCCACGAGGCAUGGACUAUUCUUGAGCGCUCGUUUGCGGCACAGUCGCAGGCUCGUGUAUCUGGGCUCCGUCGCCAACUUGGGGAGUGUCAGAAGCUUGACUCCACCGCCACUGAGUUCUACAACAAAGUCAAGAGUCUCGCCGACACGCUGGCCUCCAUUGGACAGCCCCUCACCGACUCUGAGUUCAACUCGUUUAUUGUCAAUGGUCUUGAUGAGGAGUAUGACGCCCUAGUCGAGAUCAUCAAUGAGAGAGGCAACUCCACGCCCAUGCCAGCACACGAGGUCUUUUCACGCCUCCUGCUUACUGAGCAACGAGUCGAGACGCGCCGAUCCAGGGGCAACGGCGCCCUCUCGGCAAACGCCACCACCAAGGGUGGUCGCUCCUCUGCUUCAUCCAGGGCUCCUUCGGGGCAGUCACCACCACCCGCCUCGGCCCCUCCUCCUACUGCGACGCUACCAGGGGUUGGCGGUCCACGUGUGUGCCAGCUUUGUGGUCGCGAUGGGCACUGGGCCUCGAAGUGUCACAAGCGCUUCCAGCGGGGUUUUCUUGGUCUCGGCAAUGACGGGAAGGAUACACGCAACUUUGCUCGUCAGGUCGCCAUGGCUGAUCGUCCGCCGCCGCAGAAGCCACAGGGACACACUCAGUCCUACUCCAUUGAUCCCCACUGGUACAUGGACUCUGGGGCGACAGAGCACCUGACCAGUGAGAUGGGGAAGCUUCACACUCGUGAACCCUACCAUGGCUCCGACAAGAUCCACACCGCCAAUGGAGCAGGUAUGCACAUCUCUCAUAUUGGUCAAGCAUCACUUCUCACUAGACAUGCCAAUAGGAGUCUUCAACUUCGCAAUGUUCUUCGAGUUCCAUCUGUGACACGUAAUCUUCUUUCAGUUCCUAAACUCACUCGUGAUAAUAAUGUGCUUUGUGAAUUUCAUCCUUUUAAUCUUUUUAUUAAGGAUCGGGGCACGAGGGACAUUCUUCUUAGUGGGCGGCUCUGCCAAGGUCUCUAUCGUCUGGAGCAUCCUGGCGUCGCUCGCGUCUUCAGUGGAGUUCGGGUAUCUCCGUCACAGUGGCAUGCUCGUCUUGGUCACCCGGCCACACCUAUUGUCCGGCAUGUUUUGCGUCGUCAUGAGCUUCCUAGUGUGUCUAGUAAUAAAGAUGUAGCAGUGUGUGAUGCUUGUCAGCAGGGGAAGAGUCAUCAACUUCCUUUUUCGGAGUCCAGUCGUGAGGUGAAACAUCCUUUAGAACUUGUGUUUUCAGAUGUAUGGGGUCCUGCUCAGACUUCUGUUAGUGGUCAUAAUUAUUAUAUCAGUUUUGUUGAUGCUUACAGCCGCUUUACCUGGCUUUAUCUUAUCAAACGUAAAUCUGAUGUGUUUGACAUUUUUGUUCAGUUCCAAAAACAUGUUGAACGCCUUCUCAAGCACAAAAUUGUUCAUGUUCAGUCGGACUGGGGUGGCGAGUAUCGCAACCUCAACUCCUUCUUUCAGUCGCUUGGGAUCACUCACCGUUUAGCAUGUCCACAUACACAUCAGCAGAAUGGUUCAGUAGAACGUAAGCAUCGUCACAUUGUUGAAGCUGGUCUGACUCUUUUGGCCCAUGCAUCUGUUCCGUUUCGUUUUUGGAGUGAUGCUUUCACCACUGCAUGUUUUCUCAUCAAUCGUACUCCCACUCGUGUUUUGAAUAUGAAGACUCCCAUUGAAGUUCUCCUUAAUGAACAACCGGACUACACCUUUCUCAAGGUGUUUGGGUGUGCUUGCUGGCCCCAUCUCUGUCCAUAUAACAAGCGUAAGCUCGAGUUUCGUUCCAAGAAGUGUGUUUUUCUUGGUUAUAGCUCUCUUCAUAAAGGAUACAAAUGUCUUCAUGUGCCCACUAAUCGUGUCUACAUCUCUCGGGAUGUUGCGUUUGAUGAGCAUGUUUUUCCCUUUGCCAAACUCCCUGUGUCCACUACCGAGCCACCUGUCAUGCAUUCAUCCUCUGUUGCUUCUGACCAAUUUGAUGAUGUUGCAUAUUCUCCUCUAUUGUUGCCUAACCAUGGUGCAGUCACUGGUCGUGGGGCUCGUUUGGAGAUUCUGGAAGUGAAAUCUUCCUCUUCGUUGCCAUCGCCUUCAUCCUCGGCACCUUCUGUUGUGCAUGAGGAGCACAUGGCGCCCCUGCAUGGCCUCGGUUUCCGUGCUCAUGCACGGCCGAUCGACGUCCUGGCUCGGUCGCCUCUGGCUUCUGGGCUGCCUUCGCCAUCGUCGCGCCCUGCAACCCCGCCGACUGGGCCGGCCUCCUCGGUCCCCGUCUCGCCCAGGGCGUCGGGGCAGUCAUCACCAGGCCUGGCCUCGCCCGCCCCUGCCUCGCCCAGGGUGUCUGGGCCCUUCUCAUCAGGGCCGGCCUCGCCUGCUCUCGCCUCGCCAAGGCCGUCUGGGCCGGUGUCACCGGAGCUGGCCUCGCCCACUCUCGGUUCGCCCAUGGCCUCUGAGCCCCUGUCGUCGGGCCAGUCUUCGCCAUGCAGCCCGGAGUCGUCUGUCCCGAGCUCGCCUGAGGUGAUUCCUGCAUCUCCGGCGACCGUCACGUCUCCGUCACCUUCGCCUCCGCCGGCUCCUGCUGCUGCUUUACGUCCACAUACGCGCAGUCGGAGUGGCAUUUUUCAGCCUAAGCAACGUCACGAUGGCACAGUUGCUUGGUUAGCGGCGUGCAUGUCUGCUGCUCUCGCAGAUCCAUCCUCUGAGCCACGCACGUAUCAAGCUGCUAUGCGCAUUCCUCAUUGGAGAGAGGCCAUGGAGCAGGAGUAUCAAGCGCUUCUUCGCAAUCAGACAUGGACUCUUGUUCCUCCACAAUCACGGGUAAAUGUCAUUGAUUCCAAAUGGGUUUUCAAAGUGAAGAGGCAUUCUGAUGGGUCCAUUGAGCGCUAUAAGGCUCGUCUGGUUGCUCGUGGUUUUCGACAGCGUUUUGGACUUGACUAUGAAGACACCUUCAGUCCAGUGGUCAAGCCUACUACCAUCAGACUUCUUCUCUCUCUGGUUGUUACUCGAGGUUGGUUUCUUCGUCAGCUUGAUGUUCAAAAUGCUUUUCUUCAUGGUGUCUUGGCGGAGGAGGUUUACAUGUGCCAGCCUCCGGGUUUCUCUGAUCCGGAUCGCCCUGAUCAUCUCUGUCGUCUGUCCAAGGCAAUUUAUGGUCUGAAGCAGGCUCCUCGUGCUUGGCAUGCUCGUCUUGCAAUGGCUCUUCGUGCUCAUGGUUUUGCAUCAUCAACUGCUGACUCCUCAUUGUUUCUUCUUCAAAGGCCUGAGGUUACUAUGUACUUGUUGGUCUAUGUAGAUGAUAUCAUUUUGGUCAGCUCCUCUCAGUCGGCUGCUACUGCGCUUGUUCGCUCACUUGGUGCUGAUUUUGUGGUCAAGGACCUUGGGAAGCUUUAUUACUUUCUUGGAGUGGAGGUUACUUCUCGUGCUGCUGGCCUUGUUAUGACGCAGAAGAAGUACUCUCUGGAUUUGUUGCAGCGAGCUGGGAUGCUUAAGUGCAAACCGACGACUACACCCAUGUCUACCACUGAUAAGCUCAAUGCUGUUGAUGGUGUGCUUCUUUCUUCUUCUGAUGCGACAGAGUACAGGAGUAUUGUUGGUGGGCUCCAGUACUUGACGAUCACGCGACCAGACAUUUUCUAUGCUGUUAACCGAGUAUGCCAGUAUCUGCAGUCACCCCGUGACACUCAUUGGUCUGCUGUUAAGCGGAUUUUGCGCUAUAUUCGUUUCACGGUGGCUCAUGGUUUGCAUAUUCGGCCGUCUGACUCUGGUUGUCUUUCAGCAUAUUCUGAUGCAGACUGGGCUGGCAAUCCGGAUGACAGGCGAUCCACGGGGGGUUAUGCUGUCUUCUUUGGCUCUAACCUGAUUGCCUAGAGUGCUCGGAAACAGGCUACUGUCUCGCGUAGCAGUACUGAGGCUGAGUAUAAGGCUGUGGCCAAUGCCACAUCAGAGAUCAUCUGGGUACAGUCCUUGCUUCAGGAGUUAAGUAUACCCCAAUCACAGCCUCCUGUUCUUUGGUGUGAUAACAUCGGUGCUACAUACCUUUCUGCAAAUCCGGUAUUCCAUGCCCGAACGAAACACAUUGAAGUUGACUAUCACUUUGUGCGUGAACGUGUCUCUCAGAAGCAACUACAGAUCAAGUUUAUUUCUUCCAAGGAUCAACUUGCUGACAUCUUCACCAAGCCAUUGCCUUUGCCACAGUUUGAGACUUGCAGGCGCAAUCUUACCCUUCUAGAUUCAUUAGAAAGUGACUAAGAUUGAGGAAGGGUGUUAGACUGUAUUUACAUGUGUAUAUUAUAACGUUAUAUACCACCUCAUUAUAUAUAUAUAUGUGAUAGGCCACCCCUAGAGGGUUGUGCAGGUUCCCCCAAAGCCUAUUGUCUUACACUCACCCAGCUCCGUCGCUCGGCGGCGUAGAGCAGGAGCACGCCACGACAAGCGACGCCCAAGCUGGCCCGCACCUCGCCGGUGGCGCGAUAAGCACGGCCGCGCGACGUGGCGACCCGCCUCCCCGCUGGCACGCAGCUCCCCUCCACGUAGCCGCACCACGGCGCCACGUACAGCGGCGCGCGCGCUACAAAUACGGUGGCUCGAGCUCCACUUCCCAGCAGAAUCACACACACAGAGCUAGCUAGUUCAACAAUGGCGACCAGAGCCAGAGUAACCAUCCCUCUCCUCUUCCUCCUGGGCACAAGCCUUCUCUUCGCCGCGGCUGUUUCGGCCUCCCAUGACGAGGAGGAGGACAGGCGCGGUGGGCGCUCGCUUCAGCAGUGCGUGCAGCGGUGCCAUCAGGACCGGCCGCGGUACUCGCAUGCCCGGUGCGUGCAGGAGUGCCGGGACGAGCAGCAGCAGCACGGAAGGCACGAGCAGGAGGAGCAGGGCCACAGCCAUGGCCGGCACGGCGAAGGGGGGCGUGAGGAGGAGCAGGGCCGUGGCCGUGGGCGGCACGGCGAGGGAGAGCGUGAGGAGGAGGAGGGCCGUGGCCGUGGGCGGCACGGCGAGGGGGAGCGUGAGGAGCACGGAAGGCACGAGCAGGGCCGUGGCCGGCGCGGCGAGGGAGAGCGUGAUGAGGAGCACGGGGAUAGCCGCCGGCCGUACGUGUUCGGCCCGCGUAGCUUCCGUAGCAUCAUCCGGAGCGACCACGGGUUCGUGAAGGCCCUUCGCCCGUUCGACGAAGUGUCCAGGCUCCUCCGAGGCAUCAGGAACUACCGCGUCGCCAUCAUGGAGGUGAACCCGCGCUCGUUCGUCGUGCCGGGACUCACGGACGCGGACGGCGUCGGCUACGUCGCUCAAGGUACCGUCCAUCUUGUACACGUAUCAUGCAUCUGCCGAUCGAUGAUAACUAACGUGCGCAUGCAUGCAUGCAUGCACGCAUGCAGGCGAGGGCGUGCUAACGGUGAUCGAGAACGGCGAGAGGCGGUCCUACACCGUCAGGCAAGGCGAUGUCAUCGUGGCGCCGGCGGGGUCGAUCAUGCACCUGGCCAACACCGACGGCCGGAGGAAGCUGGUCAUCGCCAAGAUUCUCCACACCAUCUCCGUGCCCGGCAAGUUCCAGGUAAUUCAAACUAGAUGCCGCUCGAAUUUCUCGAUUGGAUAACGGCGCACUGACUGACUGACACGUGGAUAUCCCGUGCAGUAUUUCUCGGCCAAGCCUCUCCUCGCGAGUUUGAGCAAACGCGUGCUCACAGCGGCUUUGAAGGUACGUACAGUACCAACUUCUCUUUCUUUACUCAAAAAAAAGGGUGCGGCUAGGUCGCUCAGUCAAGUGAUAUUGCAUAAGAAGAAAAAGAAAAAACUAAAAAGAAUAUUUUUGUAUGAAUCUCCAUGCAAAAUCAAAGGACUAUAGCAUCGAAGACUUAGCAAAACUGAAAAAAGAAAAGAAAAACUCGGUACUCACACCCAUGGACAUGGACGUGAACGUGCAGACCUCGGAUGAGCAGCUGGGCAGGCUGCUGUUCGGCAGGCGCCAAGGCCAGGAGGAGGAGUCGUCCAUCUCCAUCGUCCGCGCGUCCGAGGAGCAGCUCCGCGAGCUGCGUCGGCAGGCGUCCGAGGGCGGGCAGGGCCACCACUGGCCUCUCCCCCCGUUCCGCGGCGACUCGCGCGACACCUUCAACCUCCUGGAGCAGCGCCCCAAGAUCGCCAACCGCCACGGCCGCCUCUUCGAGGCCGACGCCCGCAGCUUCCACGCCCUCGCCCAACACGACGUCCGUGUCGCCGUCGCCAACAUCACGCCGGUGCGUCACCACGCUCGCUUAAUUAGGCUCCGAGAAAAGCAUUUCUACCGGCGCUUGAUUUGAUUACGUGACAUGCAUGCAUGUGUCAAUGGCAGGGUUCUAUGACCGCGCCGUACCUGAACACGCAGUCGUUCAAGUUCGCCGUCGUGCUGGAAGGCGAGGGCGAGGUGCAGAUCGUGUGCCCGCACCUAGCCCGCGACAGCGAGCGCCGCGAGCACGAGCACGGCAAGGGCAGGCGGAGCGAGGAAGAGGACGACGACCAGCGGCAGCAACGCCGACGACGCGGGUCCGGCUCCGAGUCCGAGUCCGAGUCCGAGGAGGAGCAGGACCAGCAGAGGUACGAGACGGUCCGCGCGCGGGUGUCGCGCGGCUCGGCGUUCGUGGUGCCGCCCGGCCACCCGGUGGUGGAGAUCGCCUCGUCCCGCGGCAGCAGCAACCUCCAGGUGGUGUGCUUCGAGAUCAACGCCGAGAGGAACGAGCGGGUGUGGCUCGCCGGGAGGAACAACGUGAUCGGCAAGCUGGACAGCCCCGCCCAGGAGCUCACCUUCGGCAGGCCCGCCAGGGAGGUGCAGGAGGUGUUCCGCGCCAAGGACCAGCAGGACGAGGGCUUCGUCGCCGGGCCCGAGCAGCAGAGCCGCCACGAGCAGGAGCAGGAGCGCCGCCGCGGUGACCGCGGGCGUGGUGACGACGCCGUGGGGGCGUUCCUGAGGAUGGCGACCGGCGCGUUCUGAGGCUGCAUGGCCGCUGGAGACUUGUGUGCUGUGUGUACUGUGUAGUGGUUCGUACGUAUGCGGGAGUAGAAUAAAUAAGAGUGGCACGGGCUCGGUACGAUGAUGUAAGUUGCCAACCUACCGACUACCAAGGCAUGUCCAUGUCAAUACAUAAUAAAUACAAGGGCGUUGCGUCUCUUUUUCAGUAUCUUCAGUAUCUUCCUCGUGGCCAGGAAAGAGAUAACGUGUACUGUUAGUCACAAAACAAUUAGUCCAGUUUAGCUACGGAGAAUUUGGAUCGAUUUUAAAUGCAGGAAGGAGAAGGAAUUACUCUUCCGGAGAGAAGGAAGGGCUCA
rnacentral:lncRNA from 1 species